GACGAACGCUGGCGGCGUGCUUAACACAUGCAAGUCGAACGGAAAGGCCCUGCUUUUGUGGGGUGCUCGAGUGGCGAACGGGUGAGUAACACGUGAGUAACCUGCCCUUGACUUUGGGAUAACUUCAGGAAACUGGGGCUAAUACCGGAUAGGAGCUCCUGCUGCAUGGGGGGGGUUGGAAAGUUUCGGCGGUUGGGGAUGGACUCGCGGCUUAUCAGCUUGUUGGUGGGGUAGUGGCUUACCAAGGCUUUGACGGGUAGCCGGCCUGAGAGGGUGACCGGCCACAUUGGGACUGAGAUACGGGCCAGACUCCUACGUGAGGCAGCAGUGGGGAAUAUUGCACGAUGGGCGGAAGCCGGAUGCAGCAACGCCGCGUGCGGGAUGACGGCCUUCGGGUUGGAAACCGCUUUCGCCUGUGACGAAGAGUGAGUGACGGUAAUGGGUAAAGAAGCACCGGCUAACUACGUG
rnacentral:rRNA from 1 species